rnacentral:lncRNA from 1 species
GAGUUCCUCAACUGCAUCUGAUGGUUCACCUCUCUUGCGUAGAUCCGUCACAGCCCUUUUUCACCCGCCAGGGCUCCCGACAAGAAAAGAAAGACUGGAGAGCAGAGGUUGGAGAACAAGGGGACACGGAGACUUCCUCAGCCGGGACCUGAGUGUUCCUGCUCCGCCCUGAGCAGAGCAGCACAGCGUCCAUGCUCGCCCUUCCCGACUCCCCAACACUAGCCUGAGGUGAGGGCGCUUCCUUUCGGCCUGCACAGUGUUUCUGACGGCGACGAAUAAAAUACUACUCUACAGCGGACCUGCGACUGACUCGCAGCAACCUAAAGUCCGGGCGUGACCCAGGGGUGGAGGAUGAAGCGACUGCGACAUUUACCUCACCCUUCUCCGGCCUGGCCGCUUCCGGCCUUUCCGGGUCGCCCAUCGCGCAGACUCCACCAGAGCCACCCGAGCUGAGGAACUGAGCGCGGCCGACCAAAUCCUAGUAGGAUCAGAUCGUCCUGUGCGAACCUCCUCCUGCUCCGGGCACGCCUUGCCGCGCCGGUCCUGGGUUCUAGCCGGCCCAUUGAGGGGCCUUCUCUGCGGUGGCUCCGCCCAGGCACGCUACUCUCGGCGCCUGAAAGAUCCGCCUUUCCUGCCGGCCCCGCCCCACUGCCUAGAGAUCCGCCUACCUCAGCCGGCUCCACCCAGCGUCUCAGAGAUCCGCCUACCUCAGCCGGCCCCGGCCCGCCCCGCCAGAGAUCCGCCUACCUCAGCUGGCCCCGCCCCUCGCCGCCGAACUCUGCUUCCUCGGCUGGCCCGCUUCUCUUCACUGAGCAGGGUCCCCACUCCGGCGACGGCUGCGUAAGUUCAGUCCGCAGUACCAGAGCACUUCAAGCCUGUUCUUUAGCGUCGCAUGACCCCGCCCACUCUUGCUCCCCCAGCUUCCGCGCUGUUGCCCAGCCUGUCAUCUGCUCUGAAUUCUAGAGCGUCUACUGGAAUUUGCAGUCUGCCUACUUGUGCCAGACUACCUGGUACACGAGGUGACUGGCACGCCGGGACAUUCCCUAGCCCUCGUGGUGCCCCAGCGACACGGUAGGUUGCACCCAGUCAGUCCAAGAGACUGCCAGAGUGGCUGUAGAGCUGCCCACUGGAUGGGAUGUGGAAAGCAGGGUGGGAGGUCGACACUGUUAAAAACUCCAAGGAGAAAGGAACUCUUGUAUUUCAGCAACCAAAAGGAGAAACUGGAGGGGGAAAGUGUGUGCGUGAAUGGAGCUUGAGAAUGAGUAGGAAAAAUAGCUAAAUCCUGGGAAAUACCUUGAAGUCUUUGUGAUUGUUUAACUGAGUAAUAUUUAUUGAACUUUCACAACCUGAUAGGUUCUAUUCUGCUAAGCCCUUUAUGUGAAUUAAUCUUUGAGAUAUUUCCCUGUAGUCGAUACUGCAAUUUUCAUGUUCCAGAUUAAACUGAACCCGAAGAUAAAUAGCCAAGAUUAAGCAACCAAAAUACGGUAGACUCCAAUAUCCUUGCUACGGAUACUUUUCAAAGCAAAGGUUAAAGUUGUAAAGAGAUUCAACACUUUUGUAUUGCAAGGGCCAAAGACAGUGAAUAAUGAUGGUGGCAAUACUCUUGGUUGAAUUGCUUCUAUGUUUUCAGCAUAUGGUACAUAUAUGGUAGUACGACAGAAAAAUAUAAUGAGCGGGAUGGGACUGUAGCUCAUUAGGUGAUGAUGUACAAGGCCUUGGGUUCAAUCCCCAGCACUACCCCUUCUUGUAUACAAACACAAAUAAGAUAUACAAAUUAAAUAAUAAUAUGGUGAAAGAAGAGUUGAGUAUGGUAUUGAACACCUCUGAUCCCAGCAUCUUGGAUAGGAGCAGGAGGAUCGUGAAACCAAGGUCGUCUUGGGCUAGAUGGGAAGAUCCAGUCUCAAAGCCAAAAACCAAAAACGUGAAAAAGAAGUAAGAGAUUUUCAGUAGAUUCUGGAAAGAGCCUUGUUAUGACUUCAACAUCUGGCAACUGCUUGGUGGUUAGCCUCUAAAAUAGAAAGCAGGAUAGAAAUUUUGCUUUAAGCUCUAAAGCUUAAUUAACCUGAAGCGAGUUAUCUUUCUUGGAGCAAUAUGAUCAAAUGCUGAGUAAAAACUUUUUAUAUAUUAUAAAGUUUUCUGGGAGGAAAGUCAUUCUCACAAAAGAUAACUUACCAAAGAUUGCAUAGCAAAUAAACUACAAACAAGGAUUCAUUCAUUCAAAGUCAUCAAAACAAUACAUCUCAAAGCAUUUUUUAAGAGUAAUUCUGCAUGAAGGCACGGAAGAGCAUUUAGAUGCAGAUAAGGCGACCUGCUUAAUAGUCCCUGAAAUGUGUUAUUUUGGAAGGAAAUGAAUGCUUAGCGUGGCACAGAAUUCCAGUCUGCUUCCUCAAGUAAGUAAUAUGAGGAAUCCCAAGUAACCCUCCCUUCUCAGAGCACAGACAUGGAGAUGCAUUCCUUCAGUGCUUUCCUGAUGCUCCAUUUGUAUUGAUUUCUUACAACUUUCACAGCUCUGUUCAAUUAGGUCUCUUCAGCUUGCUGAAGAGUUCCACGUGGUCUUCUCACAGGGCAGACAGUAUCUCCCAACCCUCCACUCAGCUGAGUGUGGAUACUGGACAGCACUUUCCCUCUAGUACCUGGAAGAACCUGUUUGGACCUACACUAAAGCAAGGAGACGACUUUAAAAAUGUUUUUAAAGUAUAUGAAUAUUAUAUCUCUGUGUGUGUAGGUAACUAUGGAGUUCAGAAAAGGGUACUGAAUGCCUUGGAGCUGGAGAUACAGGGUACUUGGAAACUUGUAUCUUCUGCAAAAGCAGCUAAUCACCCCAAAUUUGAAGCAGUGGGGACCUCUGUCCUUGGUGCUGAUGUUACUCACAGUAGUCCAAGAGACCAAGAUAAAUCAACUUUUUAUUUUCCAUCACUUCUCAGCCCCUGAGAGACUGAAGUACAAAAGUAACCAAAGACUAAGCUAUAAGCAGUGGUCAUAAACAAAUGCCAUUUUGAUUUCAGAAGCAGACAAGACAGAAAUCACUCCUCUUGCUUAGCUUCACUGAGAGUUGGCUUUCCUAGUAUCGUGGCUUCUCUUCUACCCUGACCUUGAUUCUUUAGCCCAUUCAGAAAGACCUCCAGUGGAGAGGAGGGUUACAUAUUUGGAAGUGUAGAGAUUAGAGCCAAUUUGAAUAGGCUGUGUGCAGAAGAGUGCAAGCAUCACAUAAGGCAAUGGGAAUACAAGAAAGAAUGAGUUAAUAGUUUUAAACAUCAUCUUCCUAGGGUGGGAGAGAUGGCUCAGCUGUUAAGAGCACCAACUGCUCUUUCUAGGUUCAAUUCCCAGCUCCCACUUGGAGGCUAACAACCUUCUGUAACUUAGUUCCAAGGGACCUAACACACUCUUCUGUGCUCCAUGGGCACUGCAUACAUGCAGUACAGACAUACAUAUAACAUACGUACAUACAUACAUACAUACAUACAUACAUACAGGCAAAACACCAAUAUAGAUAGAAUAAGUCUAUUAAAAAGUGGGGGGCAUCUGUGUAAAUGCCUUCACCAGUGAGCAGCUGUGAAGGAUAUUAAAUCAGUAAAUGAGUGAUAUUAACUACAGGUUUAAAAACAUACAGGUAGCUAGGGAAUCAACAAAGCCUUUGGCAAUGGAUUCUUAGUAGGCAGAAGAGUUCCGUUCUAAACUGGACAGCUGAUUGUGCUUCAGUCUAGAAGUGUGGCUCAGCCUUGUAUUUGCUGUUGUAGCUGUGACAUUGUCAAAGCCAUAUUGAAUAAAGCACUUAGCUCAAAUGAAUCAGCAGUCAAUAAUACAGACUGUCUGCUUUAGUUUCAAGAACUGUAUGAAGAACAUUUUCCCACAGAAAUAUUUUAGGCACUGGCACAUCCAGGAUAACCACCAGACAAAGGAAGUGAACAUAGUCCUAAGUUAACGUUGGUCAUCACAAUUCAUUAAUUCAAAAAUGUUAGGUGACCAAGAUUGUGGCUUGAGUUUGCUCCCUGGAACUCACAUAAGGCAGGAGAACCAAAUCCACAAAAUUGUCUUUGAACUUCUUCAUCUGUGUAUUUCAGAUUAAAGACCUUUUAGGACACAGCUUUGGGUAUACUGGGUCUUAAACUCAGCGUUUCACACAUUCUAAAUCAUGUAUUUAUGUUCUACACUACUGCCUUCUUUCAGAGUAUAUGGAAUGUUUUAGUCAAGCUAUUAUACUGAAGCAGAUGUUAGCCUUUGAACUCAAACACACUAAUGUUCAAAUAAUUUAGACCAGUCUAGUGUUACAAAAUGUUUCUCAUAACCAGCGCCUGUGCCACAUUUCUGAACGUUCAUUGCCUUCCUGGCCCUAAGUUUGCUACUUCUACUUACAUGGGGCAGGAAUCUGGUGCUCACACUCCACACCUAUACAUUUACUCUGGCACUUGCUCAGUGCCUUAUUUUUAUUUACUCACUACCCCAAUCCGUUUCUUGAUAGGUGAAGAUAUGUUUUCCUGAGGGCAGAAUUUUUCUAAUAAAAUAUGGC